rnacentral:antisense_RNA from 1 species
UUUGACACGACAUUGCUCACAUUGCUUCCAGUGUAAUUUAUAGCUUUAUGAUAAAGCGUAUUGUUC